UGUGGUUAAAACUUAUUCAUCUUACGUUUUUGAUGUAAGGCAUUUUUUGUUGCUUGAAAUGUAUGAAGUGACACAUAUAAACUACUUUUGCGAGUAGUUGGAGUGAGCGUGUUGUUUGGGGGGUGGGGUAUUCGCAGGGUAUAGAUCACAAAUUUGAGAUUUUCUGAUGGCAUGGCAAAGAUGUAAUUUCCCUUUUUUACCCAUGUAGUGAUUUGUGACUCCAGAUUUAGCUCAAGGAGUGGCACGUGAAAAGACUCCAAGCCUGGAGAAAAGAGGAGCAUCUGUAUUAAAAACUGACUGGACUCCACAAGCUAGGAAGUGAGUGUGAAAUGCCCAUGACAGGGAAAAAGUUUCUGAAGGUCAUCGUGGAGCUCCUUCUGGCAAUCCCUGGGCUGAGGAGCCUCAACUCUCGUUCAGAAUGUGACGUGGAGAGUGAAUGGUGCCCAUGACUGAUCUGGAGACCUUUGACAUGAUGUCCAAGGAAAUAAAUGACAAACAAGAUGCAAGACUGAAUGACUGAAUGAUUAAGCUUGGAAUUGGUUAGUCAAAAUUUUGCAUGUCCCCCCCCUCACUCUUGAUAGCUUACAAAUGGAACCUGUAGGGUUCUGUUUGGUUUAAUUGCUGUACUGUCAAAGUUACUGACUUUUCAGUUAUUUUUUGCUUGAUUUACAAGAAAAAAAGUCCUCAAUUCAAUUUUGUCUACACUUAAUUCCACUCUUCUGAGACACUGUUCGUAAUUCCUUGUAUACAGAUUGCAAAGCAGUCUGGUGUUAGGAGGCCGCUGAUUUGAAGACCUGCUUGUUUCCAAGACCAUGGACAGUUAUGAUUAGUUUGACAUCUGUACUGUACAUUACAAAAAGACAACAGUGAAGCUUACGAUGUGGUGGCUGCGCUCAAUGUUGACUUUUUUUUUUUUCCUGUUGUAGACUCUACACAAAUGACAAUGACAACGUUCAAUAUGCGUGCUCGUGUGACUCGUGCUGAGGGCCCUCAGGAAGACUACUCUGAUAGUGCUGGUAAAAAAAA